UGGCCUCACACAGCUCACAGCAACCUCCAACUCCUGGGCUUAAGCGAUUCUCCUGCCUCAGCCUCCCGAGUAGCUGGGACUACAGGCGCCCGCCACAAUGCCCGGCUAUUUUUGGUUGCAGUUUGGCCGGGGCCGGGUUUGAACCCGCCACCCUUGGUAUAUGGGGCCGGCGCCUUACCGACUGAGCCACAGGUGCCGCCUGAAAAAGAAAAAAGUUUUAAAAAGAGGCCAGGUGUGGUGGCCCAUGCCUACGAUCCCAACAGUUUGGGAGACCAGGGCAGGAAAAACAAUUAAAGACAGGAGUUUAAGACCAUUCCAGGCAACAUAGUGAGACACCCCCCCCCCCCGCCAUCUCUGCAAACAAACAAGACAUAUCAGCAGCUAGGUGUGGUGGGACACACCUGUAGUCCCAGCUACUCAGGAGGCUGAGGCAGGAGGAUCCCUUGAGCCCAGAAAUUUGAAGUUACAGUGAACUUUGGUGAUGCUACUGCAUUCCAGCCUGGGUGAUAGAGCGAGACCCUAUCUCUAAAAAAAAAGAAAAGAAAGAAAGAAACAAUAGAAAACAAUAGUACAAACAAAAAUUUAAAAAGUACAAAUGAAAAACCAAUAGAAUAUAACUAUGUACACGGUAUUUACAUUGUGUAAGGCAUUGUAAUUAAUCUAAAGAUGAUUUAAAGCAUAUAGGAGGACGUAAGUAGGUGGUGUGCAAAUACGCCACCAUUUUAUAUCAGAGACUUGAGCAUCCAAGGAUUUUGGUACAGAGGCUGUCCUGGGGCGGAUCUUGCAUGGAUACCAAGAGAGGACUGUACUUACCUGCUAAGUGGGAACCGUAACAGUGUCUACCCCACAGGGUCAUGGUGGAGAUUAAAUGAAUAAAUACAUGUGUAGUGCUCAGAACAAUGCCUGGCAGGUAGUAAGUGUAUAAGAAGAGUUAUUAGCUCUACAAGUACUGAUAUUUGUAUACAUAUUUAUAUUAAGUGUCUGGAAUUGCCAGCUGUUCAAAUAAAUGACAGGUAGUAUUAGGGGAAAAGCAGCUUCCCCUUUCUUGGGCUUGGGAAGAUUGCCUGAGGCACAGACAGAGCAGCUAUUUGCAUUGGUUUAUUGAGGGCUCAGUCAGUGUGGACUAGACUCUGGGAAGGCUUUACGGUAGAGGAGGCUGCUGGAGAUGGUAGGGUCACUCCAGGCAGCAGGAAAGCAUGGGUCAUUUGUGAGGAGUGGCUGUGCUGGAACGGCCGUCCAGGAUGAUGCCCUAUGUCAUAUCGCCAACUUUCAGAUUUGAUUUCCAUUUCCCAACCAUAGAGAUGAGUGUUCCCAUUUUACAGAUGCAGUAAAAGGCUCAGAGUCAUUAGAGUUCUCAGGGUCCCUAAGGUGUCCAGGAUGUGGGAGGUUCUCCGUGAAGCUCCCAGGAUGCUCUCCAGUCCCAAGAAGUCCCCUGAGCAUGCUUCACAUUUGGGAAGCUCCAGAAAGGGGUGACUUGUCUCCUAGGAGCAGGAGCAGUCUUCCUCCCCAUCUUUAGGAUAGAGCUCCAGGGUCUUUCAGAGCCUCACCAGGGCAUAGGACUCCCAUUGUUCCAGCCCCCCUCUUGUACCCCAGACUGGCCAAACCGGUUCUGGGGAAGGGGGGCGGGGAGCAGGCACGUUGAGACAGCCGCCUGCCUCUCUGCGAGGUUCCCUCCACCUUCACCAACCCCCUCCCUGCCCCACACAAUACCAGGAGCUUGCAUGGCCCUGCUCAGGGCCGUGCUGACAUCGCCCCCUGAGGACUUGGCUGCAACCCCAGAGCCCCCAGGGUGUCCUGAAGCCCUGGACCGUGCUGGUAGCUGGACGGAGCUCCCUGGCUGAGGUAGGGCCCCAACCGGGUGCCAGCAGCCCCAUUUUCCUACUGCCAAUUUUCUCAAAGUCCUUUGUGCUGCUUGCCUGGCCUCUGAUCCUGGCCCUGAUCCCCUGUGGCUUCCUGGUGCUCUGUAGACUGCUUGAUCUGGAUCUCCUCUCUAGCCAUGACGUCCCACUUGGCUUUGUCUGUUAGGGGGCAGAGGGACCCUGGCAGGGUCUCUGCUCCUCUAGGCAGCAGGGCAAGGGGCACCAGGGAAGGGUGCAGGGAAAAGCUGAGUAUGGAAGGCCAGCAGCACUUCUCUGGACCCAGUGUUCAGGGACCCUCUCUAGCAUACUGGCCAAGUGGGCCCACUGUCCUCUAUAAUUAGCAGUGCCAACUGGGUGGUCCUCUCCUCAGCCCCUGCCCCCAUUCUGGGCUUAUAGGGACACUUAGGAUGACAGGUUUCUUAGACAGGGCAUGGGGGGGUGGUCCCUUAGGAGCCACUUUACAGAUAGGGAUAUGAAACUAAGGGGUGGGCUAGGACUUGCCUGAGGCCAUGCAGCUGGUCAUUGUCAAUACCAGGCCUUGAACUUGGGGCAGGUUCCAUUUAGUUUCUAGAAUGACCUCGUGGGCACUAGAGUAUGUCCUGUGAUUAUGUCCCUGUACAUGGAGCCCGUUCUCUUCCUCAGGUUUGUUUUGUUUUGUUUUCUAACAGAGAUGAGCUACACACAAUAUGAACACAGCUUUGCCCCACCUAAAUUCCCAACACUGAGGCAAGGUGGGCCACGUCCCUGGCAGGCAUCCCAGCGAGAUGGGUCAUUCUCAUUGCUCCUUGGCCUGGGCAUAGGUGGAGGUCAAUAUACUCCUGACCUCCCCCACUAGAGACCUGCCUCCAGCUUUGUCUCCUCAGAGAGGCUUCCUCCUACCCUCUCCCCACACUCACCUAGCCCUCUCCUCUGAGACCUUAAUGGAGGUGCACCUGCCCCAAGGGCUCACUGUUUUGCUUAUUUACCCUUGCCAAUGAUGGGGAUCCCUCUGUGCCCUCCAGGGACUUCCAGAUCCCACAUAGAAUCUGCAAGAAUACAGGGAGCAGGGGUACGUGUACAUGCUUGCACACGUGCACCCACAGAAGUAAGUGGGACUUUUGAUUCCUGGAGAGAGAAAGACCUAUCUGAUGGGUAGUGGCCUCCUGUGCCUCCUUCCACCUGUUCCUAUGGUGCAGUGUGUGUUUCUCCCUCACUGCUUCAUCUUCCCCACCUGUGUGAAGACCCAAGCCACUGCCCCACCCCACUAGAGGAAGACUGAGGAUAUUAAGAAUAUUCUGAAGGGUGACUAUCAAUGACAAACUCCCAGCAUGCACCAGAUGUUUAUAUGCAUUAAUGGCAACUCUCACAUUCGUGUUGGGAAGCUGGCUGACCAUCCUUUUUCCAGAUGAGAAAACUAAGGCUAGGAAAGCUUGCUCAGAUGGGUACUCUUCAGGCUUGAGGGGCAGAGGCUAAAGGUACAAGGUUACCUAGAGCUCCCACUGUAAGGAGGGCCCCUUAGGAGCAGUCAGCCCCUUCUUUGGACUUCCCAGCAGUUGAGGGGCCGUGUAGAGAGAGUACAGCCCCCAGCAGCUGUCCCUCACUGGGUCUUCUCUUUCCUCUCUCUCUCCAUGGGUCUCUGACUUGUUCAGGCCAAGGCUCUCUCCCUCCAUGAGCACUGAGUCCCUGGGCAUUUCAGCCAGGCAGCAGUUAGCUAUUACCUCCUCCUGGAAGCCUUCCUGGAAUCCUCAGGUUGAGUUGAGCCCAGUGUCCUACUCUGAUGGCUCCUCUGGCUUGGCUCUUGCCAGCCUGAAUUUAUAAAUUUUUGUUUUCUUGAAAUGUUUGUCCAUCUGUCUCCCUGGGUUUUUCUGGGCUUCAUGUCUGUGUCUGAAUAUCUGGUCUGGAUGAAAUAUUCAGUGUCUCUCGUCUCCAUCUCCAUCUCUGGGUCCCUGAAUGUCUUAGCAUCUGUGGUCUUUCUGUUUUGGAGUGCUUUGGGGUCUCGGUUUCUGAGUUGGUGUCUAAAUGAUCUCUAUUUUCUCUAGGUCUGUCUCAAUCUCUGUCUCCUAGGUCUCCUGGCCCUGCCAGGCUGGGAACUGCCCCUGUGGCCUGAGAGAGCCUCUGGGGGGGGGGGUCCUUGCUGCCCGGCCUGCCCACAGCGAGGCCAGGCUAGGGUAGGCCCCCGCCCAGCCCGCUGCCUGCUCCCUCCUUCCCUCCCUCCCUGCUGCUUGCCUCACCACAGGGUUUGAUGAAUCAAACUCUUUGUCUGGGUGGGAUCUCCCCCAGCCAGCUGGGCAGAGAGAGGGCUUCCCCUGCCGGAGCAGCCGAUCAGCAGCGGGCCUUGGCUGGAGAGGUGAGGGGCUACUGGAGGGCACCCAGAGGAAGGCCACACAGCAAAGGCUGUGGGCUUGGACCACUCUGGGAUUAUCAGUCCCUUCCUGAUUCUUGAUCCCCCUGGGAGCAUGACCCUUUCAGCCUGGUCCACACAGGGGCUGGGAGCUGGGAUAGGGAAAAUCCCCUCUUUUCCUCCAAGCUGGGGGGCUGGGUGACAUCCCUGCCUUUCUCUGGGAGGGCCCAGCCUGAUCUGGGUGGUGGCUUGCCUGCCAGUUUGUGACCUUCCCAGCCAGCUUGGCAUGGGUGUGGGCACCACUCAGCGCUGAAGGCCUCAAUUCUGGGCAUGGUAGGGGGGGCAUCACCCAAGCUAGGACUUGUGGGCCUGUGUGUUUGUGUGUUCUGGUGUGUGUAUGUAAAUAGAACGGAGUGUGAGAAAGCUUGGGGUAUAUGUGUACAAAUAUCAAAUGAGUCGGUGUGUGUUUGUGAGAAAGUGUAUUUAGUUGUAUAAAAAUGAGUGUCUGUGAAUGUGUGAGCCUGAGGUUGAGAUGUCUGAGUGUAUCUGUGAAAAUGUGCAUGUCCAUAUGUGUACUUGGGAGAAAAUGUGUGCUUAUAUAUUUUGGAACAUGAAUUUAUGUGACAGUGUAUGUAUCUGCAUGUGUGAUUGCAUGUCUGUGUGUUAGAGAAUGCACAAGGUUGUUAAAACCAUAGACUCAAAAGCUGAAAUGGCUGCAUGUGAAUCCUGGCUUUGCUGUUUCCCAAAUAACAAGCGCUCUGUGCCCCACUUUCCUCACCUGUAAAAUAGGGGUGAUAACAGCAUCAACUCAUAGGGUUUUCAUGAUGAUGAAAUGAGAUAAUACGUGUAAAGUACUUGGCAUGUCAUUCAAGAAGUGCCAGGUAAGCAUGAGCUAUUAUUAUAUAACUAAGUGUGUGAGUGUGCUUGUACAAAUGUAUGUACACACUUGUAAACAAGCGUUCAUCCAGGCCUCCAGGAUGUAGUGGCUUACUGGCCAGCCCUGCUGUCCUAUAUCUAGGGUCUGAUCCCUUUUCUCCUACAGGCCCAGGUGGGUGGCUAAGCAAAGGAGGAAUGGACUGUGGGCCACCUGCUACCCUCCAGCCCCACCUGGCUGGGCCACCUGGCACUGCCUGCCACCCAGUAGCUGUGUGCCAGCAAGAGAGUCUGUCCUUUGUGGAGCUGCCCACCCUGCAGCCUCCAAACCCUGUGUGUCUGGACCUUUUCCCUGUUGCCCCAGAGGAGCUGUGGGCUCCUGGCAGCCGCUGGUCCCUGGGGACCCCUGCCCCCCUCCAAGGGCUGUUAUGGCCAGCAUCCUUAGGAGGUGCAGAGGCAGAGAUCUCCACCAGUGGAGGAAUACGGCCCAGCAGGGCUGGCAGCUGGCCACACUGUCCUGCUGCCCCGCCCCCAGCUCUGGAGGGCCCCUGGAGUCCCCAGCAUCCACAGCCACAGCGCCGGGCCAGCCAUGGCUCUGAGAAGAAGUCAGCCUGGCGCAAGAUGCGGGUGUACCAGCGUGAGGAGGUCGAGGGCAGCCUAGAGGCUCAGGAUGUCUUCCUGGAGCCCAGCCAGACCUUGCAGGAGCAGGCCCCAAGCACAGAUGAGCCUAGACCCCGGGAGCUGUCUGCAUGCACACGACCGAGCCUCGAAGGGCCUGAGCGAAGGCGCUUCUCAGCGUCUGAGCUGAUGACCCGUCUGCACUCUUCGCUGCGCCUGGGGCGGAAUUCAGCAUCCAGGGCACCCACUCCUGCGUCUGGCACUGAAGCAGCCCGGGAAGGAAAAGCAUCUGGAAGGGAGUCGCGAGGUGUAGAGAUGCGGUUGGACCGUGUGUCGCUGCCUGACCCUGUCGACUCAAGCGAGCGCUCCAGGCUAGACACGCAAGAAGAGCCUUCUUUGGGUACCAGGAGCGCCAGCGAACGGCGCCAGUCACGAUUCCUCCUUAACUCCGUACUCUACCAGGAAUACAGCGACGUGGCCAGCGCCCGCGAACUGCGGCGGCAGCAGCGCGAGGAGGAGGGCCCGGGGGACGAGGCCGAGGGCGCGGAGGAGGGGCCCGGGCCGCCUCGCGCCAACCUCUCCCCAAGCAGCUCCUUCCGCGCGCAGCGGUCGGCGCGCGGCUCCACCUUCUCCCUGUGGCAGGACAUCCCCGACGUGCGCGGCAGCGGCGUGCUGGCCACGCUGAGCCUGCGUGACUGCAAACUGCAGGAGGCCAAGUUUGAGCUGAUCACAUCCGAGGCCUCCUACAUCCACAGCCUGUCAGUGGCCGUGGGACACUUCCUAGGCUCUACUGAGCUAAGUGAGUGUCUAGGGGCCCAGGACAAGCAGUGGCUGUUUUCCAAACUGCCUGAGGUCAAGAGCACCAGCGAGAGGUUCCUGCAGGACCUGGAGCAGCGGCUGGAGGCAGAUGUACUGUGCUUCAGUGUGUGCGAUGUGGUCUUGGACCACUGCCCAGCCUUCCGCCGAGUCUACCUGCCCUAUGUCACCAACCAGGCCUACCAGGAGCGCACCUACCAACGCCUGCUCCUAGAGAACUCCAGGUUCCCCAGCAUCCUGGCUCGCCUGGAGGAGUCUCCUGUGUGCCAACGCCUACCCCUCACUUCCUUCCUCAUCCUGCCCUUUCAGAGGAUCACCCGGCUCAAGAUGCUGGUGGAGAACAUUCUGAAGAGGACAGCACAGGGCUCUGAAGAUGAAGACAUGGCCACCAAGGCCUUCAAUGCUCUUAAGGAGCUGGUGCAAGAGUGCAACGCCAGUGUACAGUCCAUGAAGAGGACAGAGGAGCUCAUCCACCUGAGCAAGAAGAUCCACUUUGAGGGCAAGAUCUUCCCGCUCAUCUCUCAGGCCCGCUGGCUGGUUCGGCAUGGGGAGCUGGUGGAGCUAGCACCACUACCCGCAGCACCCCCUGCCAAGUUGAAGCUGUCCAGCAAGGCAGUCUACCUGCACCUCUUCAAUGAUUGCUUGCUGCUCUCUCGGCGGAAGGAGCUAGGGAAGUUUGCUGUUUUUGUCCACGCCAAGAUGGCUGAGCUGCAGGUGAGGGACCUGAGCCUCAAGCUGCAGGGCAUCCCUGGCCACGUGUUCCUCCUCCAGCUUCUCCAUGGGCAACGUACAAAGCACCAGUUCCUACUGAGGGCCCGGACUGAAAGUGAGAAGCAGCGAUGGAUCUCAGCCCUGUGCCCCUCGAGCCCCCAGGAGGAUGAAGAGGUCAUCAGUGAGGGGGAAGCGUGGGAGGGGCAGAGGAGAAGAAGCUACAGUGCUGCCCACUACUGCUCCUCCCUGCCCCAUCCUGCCCCUGCGACUACCUGACCCUGCCCUUGGACUGUCAGACCACCCCCAGGUUCAGUGUGUUAGGACAUACAAGGCACUGCAGCCAGAUGAGCUGACCUUGGAAAAGACUGACAUCCUGGCCGUGAGGACCCGGACUAGUGAUGGCUGGCUGGAAGGGGUGCGCCUGGCAGAUGGCGAGAAAGGGUGG